UACAGAAAAUAGUUUAGUUUUGAAUUUUAGCUUUGGGAGUUAGGGGUGGGAGUUGCAAUCU
rnacentral:tRNA from 1 species